GGGCCAAUUUUCCAGACGCGAGGGGGGUUCGCGUUUUUUACCCGAGACGCGGCGGCGCAAGCGCUCCGUCCUGCCGAGGACUCCGCGGCCGCCGACUAGUCUUACGGCAACCCCAACGAGUCCUCGGCGGCGCAGCGAGCUCUCGCGGAGGCGAAGUUGCGAAGCUCGAUCCCGGCUGGCGCUCCGUCCUGCCGACCACUCCGCGGCGGCCGACGAAUUCUCGGGCGACGCCGACGAGUCGCAAGUCCUGGAGACUCCGACGAGUCCAACUGCCGCCGCCGCUGCCGGUCCUGCCACCAUCUCCCCUGACUCGCCGAGGUCCAUUAGUUGAGGCUGCUACAAUUUUGGCUUAUCGUGGUGCAGAUCGGCAUGAAGGGACAACGCUUUACUUUUUUCCGAAUGAUAUUAAUCUGAAACAGAUGCUAUAUGUAAACUUUGUUCCAUCACUUGUUGUGUAAGCCUAAGUUAAAUUGUUGCUUCAGUUGAUGUAUUGUUGUGUAAGAUUUUGUGGUGAACUGAUGCGUAAUCGAACUAUUUCAUUAAAGAAAGCUUCAGUUUCCUGUAA